rnacentral:rRNA from 1 species
GACGAACGCUGGCGGCGUGCUUAACACAUGCAAGUCGAGCGGAAAGGCCCUUCGGGGUACUCGAGCGGCGAACGGGUGAGUAACACGUGAGCAACCUGCCCCUGACGCUGGGAUAAGCCCGGGAAACUGGGUCUAAUACCGGAUAUGACCGCCCCUGGCAUCGGGUGGUGGUGGAAAGUUUUUCGGUUGGGGAUGGGCUCGCGGCCUAUCAGCUUGUUGGUUGGGUAGUGGCCUACCAAGGCGACGACGGGUAGCCGGCCUGUGAGGGCGACCGGCUACACUGGGACUGAGACACGGCCCAGACUCCUACGGGAGGCAGCAGUGGGGAAUAUUGCGCAAUGGGCGGAAGCCUGACGCAGCGACGCCGCGUGGGGGAUGACGGCCUUCGGGUUGUAAACCUCUUUCAGCAGGGACGAAGUUGACGUGUACCUGCAGAAGAAGCGCCGGCUAACUACGUGCCAGCCGCCGCAGUAACAC